rnacentral:lncRNA from 1 species
AGAUAUGCACUGGGUGCUAUUUAAGAGGACGCUUUAGCUGGGGCCCAACUCCGACGUGGCCUAUUCAAAUACAUGUAAAACGCAAAAGUGCUUUUCUGAGAUAACCCAUGGACUGAUUUUAAUGAAAUUGCUUGCAUUUGAAAAAUAAACCUAAAUUCUAGUGACUGUUGGAAGCGGAAUUUCUAUUUAGGGCCUGAAUGUUUUAAAUAGAAUUUUCAAAAAUUCGAAAGUU